CCUACGGGAGGCAGCAGUGGGGAAUAUUGCGCAAUGGGCGAAAGCCUGACGCAGCGACGCCGCGUGAGGGAUGACGGUCUUCGGAUCGUAAACCUCUGUCAGCAGGGAAGAACGGUCACUGUGCUAAUCAGCAGUGAAUUGACGGUAACUGCAAAGGAAGCACCGGCUAACUCCGUGCCAGCAGCCGCGGUCAUACGGAGGGUGCGAGCGUUAAUCGGAAUUACUGGGCGUAAAGCGCUCGUAGGCGGUAUGUCAAGUCAAGGGUGAAAUCCCCGCGCUCAACGUGGGAACUGCCUUUGAAACUGGCAGACUGGAGUGUGUGAGAGGAUAGUGGAAUUCCAGGUGUAGGAGUGAAAUCCGUAGAUAUCUGGAGGAACAUCAGUGGCGAAGGCGACUAUCUGGCACAUAACUGACGCUGAGGAGCGAAAGCGUGGGUAGCAAACAGGAUUAGAUACCCGGGUAGUC
rnacentral:rRNA from 1 species